UACGUAGGGUGCAGGCGUUACUCGGAAUUACUGGGCGUAAAGCGUGCGCAGGCGGUUGUGUAAGUCAGGUGUGAAAUCCCCGGGCUCAACCUGGGAACUGCAUUUGAGACUGGACGGCUGGAGUGCGGCAGAGGGGGAUGGAAUUCCGCGUGUAGCAGUGAAAUGCGUAGAUAUGCGGAGGAACACCGAUGGCGAAGGCAAUCCCCUGGGCCUGCACUGACGCUCAUGCACGAAAGCGUGGGGAGCAAACAGG
rnacentral:rRNA from 1 species